rnacentral:rRNA from 1 species
CUGGCGGCAGGCUUAACACAUGCAAGUCGAGCGGUAACAUUUCUAGCUUGCUAGAAGAUGACGAGCGGCGGACGGGUGAGUAACGCGUGGGAAUCUACCUAGUAGUGGGGGACAACAGUUGGAAACGACUGCUAAUACCGCAUACGCCCUACGGGGGAAAGUGGGGGACCUUCGGGCCUCACGCUACUGGAUGAGCCCAUGUAAGAUUAGCUAGUUGGUGGGGUAAAGGCCUACCAAGGCGACGAUCUUUAGCUGGUCUGAGAGGAUGAUCAGCCACACUGGGACUGAGACACGGCCCAGACUCCUACGGGAGGCAGCAGUGGGGAAUAUUUGCACAAUGGGCGCAAGCCUGAUGCAGCCAUGCCGCGUGUGUGAAGAAGGCCUUCGGGUUGUAAAGCACUUUCAGCUGUGAGGAAAGGUUGUGUCUUAAUACGGCAUUGCUGUGACGUUAACAGCAGAAGAAGCACCGGCUAACUCCGUGCCAGCAGCCGCGGUAAUACGGAGGGUGCAAGCGUUAAUCGGAAUUACUGGGCGUAAAGCGCGCGUAGGCGGCUAUUUAAGUCAGAUGUGAAAGCCCCGGGCUCAACCUGGGAACUGCACCUGAUACUGGAUAGCUAGAGUACAGAAGAGGGUGGUGGAAUUUCCUGUGUAGCGGUGAAAUGCGUAGAUAUAGGAAGGAACAUCAGUGGCGAAGGCGGCCACCUGGUCUGAUACUGACGCUGAGGUGCGAAAGCGUGGGGAGCAAACAGGAUUAGAUCCCCUGGUAGUCCACGCCGUAAACGAUGUCUACUUGCCGUUGGAAGACUUGAUCUUUUAGUGGCGCAGCUAACGCAAUAAGUUGACCGCCUGGGGAGUACGGCCGCAAGGUUAAAACUCAAAUGAAUUGACGGGGGCCCGCACAAGCGGUGGAGCAUGUGGUUUAAUUCGACGCAACGCGAAGAACCUUACCUACUCUUGACAUCCUCAGAACUUAGCAGAGAUGCUUUGGUGCCUUCGGGAACUGAGUGACAGGUGCUGCAUGGCUGUCGUCAGCUCGUGUUGUGAAAUGUUGGGUUAAGUCCCGUAACGAGCGCAACCCUUGUCCUUAUUUGCCAGCACGUAAUGGUGGGAACUUUAAGGAGACUGCCGUGACAAAACCGGAGGAAGGCGGGGAUGACGUCAAGUCAGCAUGGCCCUUACGAGUAGGGCUACACACGUGCUACAAUGGCGCAUACAGACGGUUGCGAAGUCGCGAGAUGGAGCUAAUCUGAGAAAGUGCGUCGUAGUCCGGAUUGGAGUCUGCAACUCGACUCCAUGAAGUCGGAAUCGCUAGUAAUCGUGAAUCAGAACGUCACGGUGAAUACGUUCCCGGGCCUUGUACACACCGCCCGUCACACCAUGGGAGUUGAUUGCACCAGAAGUGGGUAGCUUAACUUUUCUUCGGAAAAAGGGCGCUCACCACGGUGUGGUUGAUGUGGAAGUCGUAACAAGGUAGCCCUAGGGGAACC